GAUGAACGCUGGCGGCGUGCCUAACACAUGCAAGUCGAGCGAAGCGCCUUACUUGAUUUCUUCGGGAUGAAAGUAUUGUGACUGAGCGGCGACGGGUGAGUACGCGUGAUAACCUGCCUCAUACAGGGGGAUAACAGUUAGAAAUGACUGCUAAUACCGCAUAAGGCCACAGCACCGCAUGGUGCAGGGGUAAAAACUCCGGUGGUAUGAGAUGGAUCCGCGUCUGAUUAGCUAGUUGGUAAGGUAACGGCUUACCAAGGCAACGAUCAGUAGCCGACCUGAGAGGGUGACCGGCCACAUUGGGACUGAGACACGGCCCAA
rnacentral:rRNA from 1 species